AACGAACGCUGGCGGCAUGCCUAACACAUGCAAGUCGAACGAGACCUUCGGGUCUAGUGGCGCACGGGUGCGUAACGCGUGGGAACCUGCCCUUAGGUUCGGAAUAACUCCCCGAAAGGGGUGCUAAUGCCGGAUAAUGUCUUCGGACCAAAUAUUUAUCGCCUUUGGUGGGGCGCGCGUUGGAUUAGCUAGUUGGUAGGGUAAAAGCCUACCAAGGCUAGGAUCCAUAGCUGGUCUGAGAGGAUGAUCAGCCACACUGGGACUGAGACACGGCCCAGAAUCCUACGGGAGGCAGCAGUGGGGAAUACUGGACAAUGGGCGAAAGCCUGAUCCAGCAAUGCCGCGUGAGUGAUGAAGGCCUGAAGGUUGUAAAGCUCUUUUACCCGGGAUGAUAAUGACAGUACCGAGAGAAUAAGCUCCGGCUAACUCCGAG
rnacentral:rRNA from 1 species